rnacentral:lncRNA from 1 species
UUCUUCUUCUUCAUCCAAAUUGGUAUCUUUGUCCUUUUCUUUUUCUCCAUUUUCUUCUUGGGUUUCUGUGUUGAUUUCCUCUUUAGGGUUUUCCGUUUCAGUGGUUUCUGGUUGACUGAUCGGUUCAAGUUCGGAUUUUGAUUCGUGGGUCGGUGCAAGAUCGGAUUUUGAUUCGUGGGUCGGUGAGGAUUCUGUGGAAGAAGACAUGGUGUUGGGGAUUGUGGUGAUGGAAUUGAUGGAGCUAGGGUUUGAGUCUGAAAGUGUGGAAAAGAAGUUUCCACUGACUGCUCAUAAACCUCUUCUUAAACCCUCUUUCUCCAGAAGAAUAAUACUCCUUUUUUUUCGGCAUGGUCUUUUUUCUUUUUAAUACUUUUUCUUCUUAUUUAAAAAGUAUGUCUCUCUUUUUCUUAGGAAGAAAGUCAGAUGUAU